rnacentral:rRNA from 1 species
GACGAACGCUGGCGGCGUGCUUAACACAUGCAAGUCGAGCGGAAAGGCCCUUUCGGGGGUACUCGAGCGGCGAACGGGUGAGUAACACGUGAGUAAUCUGCCCCUGGCCUUGGGAUAGCCACCGGAAACGGUGAUUAAUACCGGAUACGACCACUGCCCGCCUGGGAUGGUGGUGGAAAGUUUUUCGGCCAGGGAUGUGCUCGCGGCCUAUCAGCUUGAUGGUGAGGUAAUGGCUGACCAUGGCUUCGACGGGUAGCCGGCCUGAGAGGGUGACCGGUCACACUGGGACUGAGACACGGCCCAGACUCCUACGGGAGGCAGCAGUGGGGAAUAUUGGACAAUGGGCGGAAGCCUGAUCCAGCAACGCCGCGUGAGGGAUGACGGCCUUCGGGUUGUAACCUCUUUCAGCAGCGACGAAGCGCAAGUGACGGUACCUGCAGAAGAAGCACCGGCCAACUACGUGCCAGCAGCCGCCGUAA